UCAAUGUAAGGAAAGAUGUUUAACAGGUAAGCCAUGGCACAUCACAAUGACAUAAUCAGUAGGCCCUCCCUGAAACAUCUAUUGAAACCUGGAGAGGACUAGCUUCUUCUGUGAUGUCACAAGUGUUGUCGUGACUGCAACUCCCUUCAGAUAUCCCCUCAGUACCUCUAGUGUUUACUAAUUUAACUCUAAUCGAGAGUAAACAGUCAUUGUGGAGUGAGAAGGAAGAGGAUGAUGAGAUCAGAGAUGGGAAGAAGGAAGGUGGUCUUCUGUCUUGUUAUAAAAAAAGGAUGAAAUACAUGGUACUUCGGAAAGCUCAAAAAACUCUCAAAACUCAUCCUGGCUGACAAUGUAGAUUAGACGCAUCAGAUGAAAUGAAUUGAAAAACUCUCCUGGGAAUGAAAGUGGUAAGGAAAUCACAUUGAUGUAUCCUAAAUGCAGUGCUAAGAGCAAUAUUCAGACUAGUCUGUGGAGAUGCUGCUGUCAUCAGAGACCACAGACAAUUAGUGGAGAAUGAUUCAGCAUUAAACUGGGAAUGGAAGAUGAUGGUUGAUAUUGUUCUAGUAGAUCUCACUACAUUAAAAAGUGUUUCUUCCAGAUAACUGAAUGAUUAUUGUAAAGCAAAUCCCGGAAUGAACUUAUGAGACCCACCAUCAGCCUGUCAAAUAAUGUGCGAAAGAAGAAAUCUGUGUCUCUCCAGGGACAAAUUGUUGCUUUCAAACCAACAGUAAAGUGUCCAUUCUAUGAAUGAUACAUUGAUAUAUACACAUUAUAGAAGGAUGGAUACAGAGUUUCUUAAGGUCCAUGAAUGAGGUAUUCAGCAGUUGACCUGGAUCAGAAAUGAAGGUAAUUUUUGCCAACUCUUCAGACUUGAGCUCAUUCACUAGGAUCCCCAUGAUUGAAGAAAAGAACAAACUUCAGACAACUUGUCUCAGAUUUUUAUAUAGUUAAGAUUUCCUGGUCUUGGUCCUAGGAAGGAAGGAUAUCUUGCUUUCCAAUUCUUGUUUAUCCUAUAAUCCUCUCUGCUGCAUUCAUGCAAAUAGAUUACUGUGCAUUUCUUUAAUAGGUUACAAUUGCUAUUUUAAUUAUGUUGCCAAGAACUAUAGAAAAAAAGAAGGACUGUAUCAAAGCAUCAUAUGAAAAUCCGACUAAGGUAAUGUGGCCAUUGGAAAUUUGUAACUGACCUGAAACUCUUACUAGAGACAAAAUGCCAUAAAAGGUCUUCUCUAGAUAUCUGGUGUAGUAGUUGGUGUUCCCCAACAGACAGUAAAGGAUGAAUCUCUCUGUACAGAGAAAUCGGACUAGUCACAAUGAUCACAGACUAUGGAACACAUAAUUUAACAAUGACUGACUAUUUUUAAAGUCCUAGAAUCCAUUAGUUUAUUAGUCCAAAAGGCAAGAUGUCUUAUCUGGUCAUUGACAUAUGGAUAAAUAUUCAGUAUGCAGGUUCUAAUGUCUAUGAGGAUUUGGUAUCACUGUGAGUGCAAAAAUGAAAAAGUAAAGGCUUCUUUCUUCCAUGUUUUCUACGGGGAUUCAAAUAGAAUGCAUGGUUUAGAAUACAUUGGGUUUGUCAUUCUCAAACAGACCAAUAUCUUCAACUAAACAUUCUUUUCUUGGAAGCUGCACCCUGUCAGCAUGGCUCACGUGUAUGUGAACUGCAAGAUCUAGUCUGGGAAGGCGGUCCUGUUCAUCGAUCCAACCUGCCCCUAAUACUGAAAUACCCAAGACUUCCUCAAUCAACUCCUUUGCAAACAUGGUCUUCUGGGAUUUGAAGACAUUACAUCUACUAACAACACCAAUGCAAUUCAAGAUUACUUUCAACAGCUCCCUGGAGUGAGAAUUGUUCCUUGGGUCCUUAUAUGUAGAGAAAGACUGCAUAGGCAGACACAGUGAUCUAAUCUACCUGCAACAGAAUGAAGAGAUGAUGAUGUGGCUGAAGCAGAUUGGAGCUCUGCAUUUAUUAAAGGGAUGGCAGUAAAAGCCCAUGCUGACAGCAGACAUUCAGACAUGCUGAAGCCAUGCUGAGAGUUGAUGUUUGUCACAGAUGAUUUCAGUAUUUUCUUAUGACUGGGAUUUUCAACAAAUUGGCUUUCAUUCUAUUCCUCAUUCCAAAAAAUCUGUUGCUGUAGGCCUCAAACCAUGGGGCAGGGAAACUUAAGAGACAACAGAGGAUUGAUAAUCCAGUCUUCAUUCACUGACUUGUCUCUACCUCAAAGUCCAUGUUUCACAAUCCAGUGCAUUUAAAUCUCCAGGGAAUCAGUUACUGUUUCUCUACCAUGCUGGUCUGCUGAAGUCAUUUUACAGAAGUCCACUUCCAAGUAAUUAUUAAAGCAAUGAAUAUUUUGAAGUUGUUUAUGAUCUACACACAGGCUUUUUACGCCCCAAGCAUGUACCAUCCCACUUCUGCAUUUGCAGCUCUCAGCCAGUGUUCUCGACCUAUCCAUCCAGCAACCCUUAGAUUCCACACUUUGUAUGAGGAUAAUAUUUGAAAAAACAGAAGAAUAGCUGUAGCAUAGUUGUUCUUCACUGAAGCCAUAUUAACACAGACGGCAGAGCAUAUGAUGCAUUCAUCUCUGUUUGUAGUGUUUAAUUCCCCGUAAAGUCCCAAACAAUUGAGAGUUGAUUCUGUCAGAGUACCAGCAAAGUCAAAAAGGAAAUGCAAAAUUUCAGAAUUCUCCUUCCAAAGAUGUUUUGAAAGAAGUUGUUUGCAAAACACUGUCUUAAUAAAUUUAUUCCAUUCUCACUUUGAU